GUCUAUGGCCAUACCAUGCCUGAUCUUGUCUGAACAUGCCUGAUCUUGUCUGAUCUCAGAAGCUAAGCAGGGGCGGGCCUGGUUAGUACUUGGAUGGGAGACCACCUGGGAAGACUGGAUGCUGUAGACA
rnacentral:rRNA from 1 species